GACGAACGCUGGCGGCGUGCUUAACACAUGCAAGUCGAACGGAAAGACCCUGCUUUUGUGGGGUGCUCGAUUGGCGCACGGGUGAGUAACACAUGUGUAACCUGCCCUUGUCUUUCGGAUAACUUCAGGGGACAGGGGCUAAUACCCGAUAGGAGCUCCUGCUGCAUGGGGGGGGUUGGAAAGUUUCGGCGGUUGUGGAUGGACUGGCGGCUUAUCAGCUUGUUGGUGGGGUAGUGGCUGACCACGGGUUCGACGGGUAGCCGGCCUGGGAGGGUGACCGGGGACCUGGGUCCUACGGGAGGGACCAGUAGGCAACGGGAGGCAGCGGGGGAAAGCAUGACGCAGCGGGGCGAAGCGAGAUGCAACAACGUCGGGUGCGUAAUGAUGUCCUUCGGGUGGUAAACAACUGUGGCCUGUAACGAGGCGUGCGUGACGGUACUGAGUAAAGAAGCACCGGCUAACUACGU
rnacentral:rRNA from 1 species